UACGUAGGGGGCAAGCGUUGUCCGGAAUCAUUGGGCGUAAAGAGCUUGUAGGCGGCCAGGUAGGUCUGGUGUGAAAACUCGAGGCUUAACCUCGAGAUGUCAUCGGAAACCAUCUGGCUAGAGUCCGGAAGAGGAGAGUGGAAUUCCUGGUGUAGCGGUGAAAUGCGCAGAUAUCAGGAAGAACACCAAUGGCGAAAGCAGCUCUCUGGGACGGUACUGACGCUGAGACGCGAAAGCGUGGGGAGCGAACAGG
rnacentral:rRNA from 1 species